rnacentral:rRNA from 1 species
GACAGAGGAUGCAAGCGUUAUCCGGAAUUAUUGGGCGUAAAGCGUCUGUAGGUGGCUUUUCAAGUCCGCCGUCAAAUCCCAGGGCUCAACCCUGGACAGGCGGUGGAAACUAUCAAGCUGGAGUACGGUAGGGGCAGAGGGAAUUUCCGGUGGAGCGGUGAAAUGCGUAGAGAUCGGAAAGAACACCAGCGGCGAAAGCACUCUGCUGGGCCGACACUGACACUGAGAGACGAAAGCUAGGGGAGCGAAUGGG